GUUUGAUCCUGGCUCAGAGCGAACGUUAGCGGCGCGCCUAACACAUGCAAGUCGCACGAGAAAGGGCCUCGGCCCCGGUAAAGUGGCGCACGGGUGCGUAACACGUGGGCAAUCUACCCUAAGGCGGGGGAUAACGUCCCGAAAGGGACGCUAAUACCGCAUGAGACCACGGAUCCUUCGGGAACUGCGGUCAAAGCUGGCCUCUUCAUGAAAGCUAGCACCUUAGGACGAACCCGCGGCCCAUCAGCUAGUUGGUAAGGUAAUGGCUUACCAAGGCUAAGACGGGUAGCUGGUCUGAGAGGAUGAUCAGCCACACUGGAACUGAAACACGGUCCAGACUCCUACGGGAGGCAGCAGUGGGGAAUAUUGGACAAUGGGCGCAAGCCUGAUCCAGCGACGCCGCGUGAGUGAUGAAGGCCUUCGGGUUGUAAAGCUCUGUUGAGGGAGAAGAAAACGGCUGGCGUGAAUAACUCCAGUCCUUGACGGUAUCCCUUUAGAAAGCACCGGCUAACUCUGUGCCAGCAGCCGCGGUAAGACAGAGGGUGCGAACGUUGCUCGGAAUUACUGGGCGUAAAGCGCGUGUAGGCGGACUGGUAAGUCGGACGUGAAAUCCCUGGGCUCAACCCAGGAACUGCAUCCGAAACUAUCAGUCUGGAGUGGUGGAGAGGAAAGCAGAAUUCCUGGUGUAGAGGUGAAAUUCGUAGAUAUCAGGAGGAACACCGGUGGCGAAGGCGGCUUUCUGGACACUAACUGACGCUGAGACGCGAAAGCGUGGGGAGCAAACAGGAUUAGAUACCCUGGUAGUCCACGCCGUAAACGAUGAGUGCUGGGUGUCGCGGGUUUUGACCCCUGCGGUGCCGUAGCUAACGCGUUAAGCACU
rnacentral:rRNA from 1 species